rnacentral:rRNA from 1 species
AGUGAACGCUGGCGGUAGGCCUAACACAUGCAAGUCGAACGGCAGCACAGUAAGAGCUUGCUCUUACGGGUGGCGAGUGGCGGACGGGUGGGGAAUACAUCGGAAUCUACUUUUUCGUGGGGGAUAACGUAGGGAAACUUACGCUAAUACCGCAUACGACCUACGGGUGAAAGCAGGGGAUCUUCGGACCUUGCGCGAUUGAAUGAGCCCAUGUCGGAUUAGCUAGUUGGCGGGGUAAAGGCCCACCAAGGCGACGAUCCGUAGCUGGUCUGAGAGGAUGAUCAGCCACACUGGAACUGAGACACGGUCCAGACUCCUACGGGAGGCAGCAGUGGGGAAUAUUGGACAAUGGGCGCAAGCCUGAUCCAGCCAUACCGCGUGGGUGAAGAAGGCCUUCGGGUUGUAAAGCCCUUUUGUUGGGAAAGAAAAGCAGCAGGUUAAUACCCCGCUGUUCUGACGGUACCCAAAGAAUAAGCACCGGCUAACUUCGUG